rnacentral:rRNA from 1 species
UACGUAGGGGGCGAGCGUUGUCCGGAUUCAUUGGGCGUAAAGCGCUUUAAGGCGGUUCGCUAAGUCGCGUGUGAAACCUCCAGGCUCAACCUGGAGACGCCACGCGAUACUGGCGUGACUAGAGUUCGGUAGGGGAUCACGGAAUUCCUGGCGUAGCGGUGAAAUGCGCAGAUAUCAGGAGGAACACCGGUGGCGAAGGCGGUGAUCUGGGCCGACACUGACGCUGUAGAGCGAAAGCGUGGGGAGCGAACAGG